rnacentral:rRNA from 1 species
GUAAAAGUCGUAACAAGGUUUCCGUAGGUGAACCUGCGGAAGGAUCAUUAUCGUUGUACGCGGCCCGCUCGUGCCUCACGGCGCCUGCUCGUCUGCUAACACAACAACUACCGUGCACCUGGUUGAGGCGCCGCCUGGGAACUCGCCCUGUGCGAGUCCCUGUGUGUCGCCGGCUGCUCUGUUCGGGGUAACCUUCCGUUUCGGUGAAGGUCUUAAAUGGGUGCCUUGGAGCCACGCGUCUCCCCGGCCCCGUCCGGAGCGGUUUGCCUGUAUUUCUUUUUCUAACCAAGCGAACAGCAUGUUUGCAGGCCGAACGUGAAUACACGUAUUAAAAGUAAUGUCAAUCGACAACUUUUAACGGUGGAUCUCUUGGCUCGUGGAUCGAUGAAGAACGCAGCAAACUGCGAUACGUAGUGUGAAUUGCAGAAUUCAGUGAAUCAUCGAAUCUUUGAACGCAAAUGGCGCUCCUGGUUCUUCCAGGAGCACGUCUGUCUCAGUGUCGUUUUCUUAUCGAGCACGCUCCGGCGUGGUUGCCAUGAGGGUCUGGCGCUGCCUCUCGUCCACCUGAUGCCUUCGGCUUCAGGCGUGGCGUGCGGCUGCCAGUCCCUUGAAAAUCCGGGAGUUGGCUGCUCCGCCCAUUGCUUGUCGCUGGGCUGGCACGGCUGUUGCGCGUGAACGGUGGUUAACCACCGCCGCUCAUGCUCGUCGUGCUUCUCAGUCCAGUGGCGUUUCACUGGCAUGGGCCUUUAGCGUUGGGCAGCCUCUUGCUCCUUGGCCGAAAACCGAAGAAGACGCUCUCGUGGCGUCAACUUUGACCUGAGAUCAGUCGAGACUACCCGCUGAAUUUAAGCAUAUUAAUAAGCGGAGGAAAAGAAACCAACAGGGAUUCCC